UUCAGGGAGAGAUCCACCCUGUCUUAAAAAAUAAGUGGAGAGUGACUGAGGUAGACUUCAAGCCUCCACACGCACACACUUAGGCGUGUCACACAUGGGGAAGGGUGCAGAGGCGGGACUUCAAAAUUGUCACACACACACACACACACACACACACACACACACACACACACACAAAAUCGAGCAGGAUUCACCAUACCAGGUAUCAUCGAAGAUAUAAAGAAACUUGAGUUCUGAUAUUUGACCGUGGGGAAGUUAAUGGCCCGAUCACUCUGAAACAUAGUUUUAAGAGACCUUAAGACACUUUAGGGAACCACUAUGCCACCCGGCUGUUCCCAAAUCUCUAUCCAAGGAGAGAAGAAACAAAGCAAAACACAUGGCCACAAAGACUUGGACUCAGGUGCUCAUGACAUCUGGGAACACUGGAAGCGAAGGCCAUGAGCCUAUGAGUGGAUAAAUGGCUAUGGAGUGAGCUGGCAUGGUGACACACAUCGGUGACACACACCUUUAACCCCAGCAGUUAGGAGGCAGAUGGGUCUUUUACAGUUCAAGGCCGGCCUGGAACUAUAUAGUGAGUUUUAGGGCAGCCAGGGCUACAUACUAGUUCAAAAAAACUAAAAAAAAAAUUUUUUUUUAAAUUAAAAAAAAAAAAAAAAAGGUGGAUUGGGGCUGGGGAUUUGGCUCAGUGGUAGACUAAAUCCCCAACCCCCAUAAGCAUUUUAAAAACAAAACUGCAGUACCUCCUUGGCAUCACCAGAUCUCCUGUGGGCAUUGGCAUUACUAGUCCAUGAUGGUUUCUUCAUGUCAGGAUCGAAGCCAGGUCCACACAGGUUCUCUUCCAUUUAUGGAUUCUCUCUGAUUUUCUAUUGUGACUUGUUUAUUGAAGGAAAUGGGUCCUUAACCCUGUAGUUUCCCAGGGUGGCUAUCUAUACACUGUCUUCAGUACAAUUUCCUGUCUCCUGAUAAGCUUACGAUUAAACGUGACUCGGGUAUAGGGCCCUCAGGAAUUCAUAAUGUGCAUAUGUUUGUGUGUUGUUAUUUGUGCAUGGGAAGGGCUUGGGUUUAUAUUGGGUCACUCUGCCCUACAUGUUGAGGCAGGGGCUCCUGCUGAACCAAGAACUUUCUGUGUUUGCUAACCACAUUAGCCAGUUUGCUCUAGGGACCAUCCUGUCUCUACUCACUGAAGAGCUAGAAUCACACACACACACACACACACACACACACACACACACACGCGCGCGCGCGCGCGCAAACACGCACACAUGCACACAUGCACGCACGCAUAUACGUACGUAUGCAUGCAUGAGCGCACCUAACAAGAUACUCACUUUUGGCUUGGGUUGCUUUAAACAAAUCUGGCCAUCUGGCUUCCUUUUCCUUAUAAAUGUUGGCCCUUUUGUCUGGUUAUUUUUUUUCUUCUCCCUUUAAAAUCCAGUAAUUAAAACUUUUUUUUAAAAAAACUUAUUACUGGUUCUUUGCAAAGUUCACAUUAUGUGCCCUGCUUAUCCCCUUAUCUCCCACCUCGAGCCCCGUACUUGCUGCAGCAGGUGGGAGACAAGCUAGCUUUCCUGCUCUCAUGACCCCAGAGCCUGCUCUCCUGCCUGCCCCAGGUACAGCACCACAGGGAGACUAGUGGUAGGGCCAGCUCCCCCACACUUGUUUCCUCCAGGCCUGCUCACCCACAGCUCCCGAAAUGCUCUGCUCUCCCAAGUACUGCAGCUGGCGAGGGGCUGAGGCAGCUCUCAGGUUUUCAUGCCUGUAGGCCCAGCUCUCCUGUGAAGCAGGGGCGAGGGUGGGGCCGGUUCUGCCACAGCAUCCAGACAUCAAUCUGUUCCUAGUGACAGC
ensembl:lncRNA